rnacentral:sRNA from 1 species
GCGGAUUGAGGUCGUAAACAGAAAAUUUGGAAACCGGAUCAAAGUGCUGAGAAGUCGAAUUCGCUUCAUCCAUUUGGUCACAGGUUGUGUCCUGGGCUCCUCAGGAAAGGUUCUGCCCAAGUGGGGCUGGGAGCAGUUGGAAGUUACUUGCACCCCAUACCUGAAAGAAACCCUCAACUCCAUCUGGAAUGUGGAGGACCAUAUCAAUCCCAAGUUGCCAAACAUCAGCUUGGAUGUGCUGCAGCCCAGUUUUCCUGAGAUGUUGCUGGAAUCCCACAUGGUCAUGAUCCGGGGGAACAGUGGCCUCAAACCCAAGGACAAUGAGUUCACGUCCAAACCCUGGCACUGGCCUAUCAACUAUCAGGGCCUACGCUUCUCAGGGGUCAAUGACACAGAUUUCCGAGUCUAUCUGCUUGGCAACCCGGUGGUUUGGUGGCUCAAUCUGUUGAGCAUCACCCUCUACCUCCUCUCAGGGAGCAUCAUUGCUGUAGCCAUGCAGAGAGGGGCACGGCUGCCAGCGGAGGUUGCAGGUCAGGUCCUCCGGGCUCUCCCUCCCCUGACCUGGCGGCGGCAGGGCCGGCUGCCUGCUGAUGGGCCAUCCUUUGCGUUUACCACCGCACACCUUCCCUUACUCUUUGCUUUUGAAAGCUAACAACCCCCAAGUACCCAGUGCUGUGUUAAACACUUCACUUCCUCCCAACAACACUAGAGCGUUGGCUAUUAUGACCCCCAUUUUCUGGAUUAGGAAACCAAGGAACCACGAGAUUAAGAAACUUGCCCCAGGACAUACAGCUAGGUUGUCCCAGGUCCUGCUGCGAGGAGGCGGCCAGGUCCUGCUCGGCUGGACACUCC